rnacentral:rRNA from 1 species
UAAGACGAACCGUGCGAACGUUGUUCGGAUUCACUGGGCUUAAAGGGCGCGUAGGCGGGUUCCCAAGUCAGGGGUGAAAUCUUUCGGCUCAACCGGAAAACAGCCCCUGAUACUGGGAGUCUGGAGGGAGGUAGGGGCAUGUGGAACUUCCGGUGGAGCGGUGAAAUGCGUAGAUAUCGGAAGGAACGCCGGUGGCGAAAGCGACGUGCUGGACCUCUUCUGACGCUGAGGCGCGAAAGCUAGGGGAGCAAACGGGA